rnacentral:rRNA from 1 species
AUUGAACGCUGGCGGCAUGCCUUACACAUGCAAGUCGAACGGUAACGGGCCUUCGGGUGCCGACGAGUGGCGAACGGGUGAGUAAUACAUCGGAACGUGCCCGAUCGCGGGGGAUAACGAGGCGAAAGCUUUGCUAAUACCUCAUACGAUCUACGGAUGAAAGCAGGGGACCGCAAGGCCUUGCGCGGACGGAGCGGCCGAUGGCAGAUUAGGUAGUUGGUGGGAUAAAAGGUUACCAAGCCGACGAUCUGUAGCUGGUCUGAGAGGACGAUCAGCCACACUGGGACUGAGACACGGCCCAGACUCCUACGGGAGGCAGCAGUGGGGAAUUUUGGGCAAUGGGCGCAAGCCUGAUCCAGCCAUGCCGCGUGCAGGAUGAAGGCCUUCGGGUUGUAAACUGCUUUUGUACGGAACGAAAAGCCUUCUUUUAAUACAGGAGGGUCAUGACGGUACCGGAAGAAUAAGCACCGGCUAACUACGUG